AUCAUGAUCUGUAUAAUAGUGGAGGAUUAUGGGACAAAGAAUAAAUCUACUUAGUUUUAGAAUGGAUACUAUAACCUCGGACGGGUGAGUAACGCGUAAGAACCUGCCCUUGGGAGAGGAACAACAGUUGGAAACGACUGCUAAUACUCCGUAGGCUGAGGACAAAUAUGAGGAAUCCGCCCGAGGAGGGGGUCGCAUCUGAUUAUCUUUUUGGUGAUGCAAUAGCUUACCAAGGCAAUGAUCAGUAGCUGGUUCGAGAGGAUGAUCAGCUACACUAGGAUUGAGACACGGCCCAGACUCCUAUGGGAGUUAGCAGUAGGGAAUUUUCCACAAUGGGCAAAAUCCUGAUGGAGCAAUGCCGCAUGGAGGUAGAAGGCCCACGGGUUGUGAACUUGUUUUCCCGGUGAAGAAGCAAUGAUGGUAUCUGGGGAAUAAGCAUCGGCUAACUCUGUGCUAGUAGCCAUGGUAAUACAGUGGAUGCAAACAUUAUCCAAUAUGAUUGGGCGUAGAGCAUCUUUAGGUGACUUUUUAAGUCUGUCGUCAAAUCCCAGGGCUCAACCCUGGACAUGCGGUGGAAACUACCAAACUGGAUGGGCAGAGGGAAUUUUUGGUGGAGCGGUGCAAUGCAUAGAGAUUGGAAAGAACACCAUCGAUGAAAGCACUCUGCUACGCCGACACUAAUACUGAGAGAUGAAAGCUAGGGGAAUGAAUGGGAUUAGAUACCCCAGUAUUCCUAGCCAUAAAUGAUGGAUACUAGGCUAUGUACGUAUCGACCCAUGCAAUGUUGUAGCUAACGCGUUAAGUAUCCCACCUGGGGAGUACGUUCACAAGAAUGAAACUCAAAUGAAUUGAUGGGGGUCCGCACAAGCAGUGGAGCAUGUAGUUUAAUUCAAUGAAAAGCAAAGAACCUUACCAGGGCUUGACAUUCUGUGAAUCCUCUUGAAAGAGAAGGGUGCCUUUGGGAAGGAAGACACAGGUGGUGCAUGGCUGUCGUCAGAUUGUGUUGUAAGGUAUUGAGUUAAGUCUCACAACGAGUGCAACCCUCGUGUUUAGUUGCCAUCGUUGAGUUUGGAACCCUGAACAGACUUCCAGUGAUAAGCCGGAGAAAGGUGAGGAUGAUGUCAAAUCAUCAUGCCCCUUAUGCCCUGGGCGACACACAUGCUAUAAUGGCUAGGACAAAGGGUCGUGAUCCUGUGAGGGUGAGCUAAAACCAAAAACCCAUCCUCAGUUCGAAUUAUAGGUUGUAACUCACCUGAAUAAAUCCAAAAUUGCUAGUAAUCGCCGGUCAGCCAUACGACGGUGAAUUCAUUCCCGGUCCUUAUACACACCGCCUGUCAUACUAUGGGAGCUUGUUAUGCCCAAAGUCGUUACCUUAACCACAAGGAGGGGUAUGCCAAAGGCAGGGCUAGUGACUGGAGUAAAGUCAUAACAAGGUAGCCGUACUGGAAGGUGCGAAUGGAUCACCUCUUUU
rfam:Capsicum annuum cultivar Zunla-1 chromosome 4, whole genome shotgun sequence